rnacentral:snoRNA from 1 species
CGCGAGAGUGAUGAGCUGCACAUCAGUGUGGCCGCAGCAUCCAGGGAUGCAGGCCACACUCAGUAUCCGUCUGGUGACAAACCAAGUGCACAGGGGCCAGCUGACUCGCG